rnacentral:rRNA from 1 species
UACAGAGGUCUCAAGCGUUGUUCGGAUUCAUUGGGCGUAAAGGGUGCGUAGGCGGCGCGGUAAGUCGGGUGUGAAAUCUCGGGGCUUAACUCCGAAACUGCAUUCGAUACUGCCGUGCUUGAGGACUGGAGAGGAGACUGGAAUUUACGGUGUAGCGGUGAAAUGCGUAGAUAUCGUAAGGGAAGACCAGUGGCGAAGGCGGGUCUCUGGACAGUUCCUGACGCUGAGGCACGGAAGGCCAGGGGAGCAAAACGGG